rnacentral:rRNA from 1 species
UACGAAGGGGGCUAGCGUUGCUCGGAAUCACUGGGCGUAAAGCGCACGUAGGCGGAUUGCUAAGUCAGGGGUGAAAUCCUGGAGCUCAACUCCAGAACUGCCUUUGAUACUGGCGACCUUGAGUCCGGGAGAGGUGAGUGGAACUGCGAGUGUAGAGGUGAAAUUCGUAGAUAUUCGCAAGAACACCAGUGGCGAAGGCGGCUCACUGGCCCGGUACUGACGCUGAGGAGCGAAAGCGUGGGGAGCGAACGGG